rnacentral:rRNA from 1 species
UACGAGGGGUCCAAGCGUUGCUCGGAAUCAUUGGGCGUAAAGCGGGUGUAGGUGGCUUUAUAAGUCAGGAGUGAAAGCCCUGGGCUCAACCCAGGAAGUGCUUUUGAUACUGUAAAGCUUGAGUGUGGGAGAGGAUCGUGGAAUUCCAGGUGUAGUGGUGAAAUACGUAGAUAUCUGGAGGAACACCGGUGGCGAAGGCGGCGAUCUGGCCCAACACUGACACUCAGACCCGAAAGUGCAGGGAUCAAACAGG